GACGAACGCUGGCGGCGUGCUUAACACAUGCAAGUCGAACGAUGACGACCGAGCUUGCUCGGUCUGAUUAGUGGCGAACGGGUGAGUAACACGUGAGCAACCUGCCCUUCACUCUGGGAUAACCUCGGGAAAUCGGGGCUAAUACCGGAUAAGAGCUCCUGUCGCAUGGCGGGUGUUGGAAAGUUUUUCGGUGAAGGAUGGGCUCGCGGCCUAUCAGUUUGUUGGUGAGGUAGUGGCUCACCAAGGCGAUGACGGGUAGCCGGCCUGAGAGGGCGACCGGCCACACUGGGACUGAGACACGGCCCAGACUCCUACGGGGGGCAGCAGUGGGGAAUAUUGCACAAUGGGCGAAAGCCUGAUGCAGCGACGCCGCGUGAGGGAUGACGGCCUUCGGGUUGUAAACCUCUUUCAGCAGGGAAGAAGCGAAAGUGACGGUACCUGCAGAAGAAGCGCCGGCUAACUACGUG
rnacentral:rRNA from 1 species